AGAGCGAACGCUGGCGGCAGGCCUAAUACAUGCAAGUCGAACGGAUCCUUCGGGAUUAGUGGCGGACGGGUGAGUAACACGUGGGAACGUGCCCUUUGGUUCGGAACAACUCAGGGAAACUUGAGCUAAUACCGAAUGUGCCCUUCGGGGGAAAGAUUUAUCGCCAUUGGAGCGGCCCGCGUCUGAUUAGCUAGUUGGUGAGGUAAAGGCUCACCAAGGCUUCGAUCAGUAGCUGGUCUGAGAGGAUGAUCAGCCACACUGGGACUGAGACACGGCCCAGACUCCUACGGGAGGCAGCAGUAGGGAAUCUUGCGCAAUGGGCGAAAGCCUGACGCAGCCAUGCCGCGUGAAUGAUGAAGGUCUUAGGAUUGUAAAAUUCUUUCAGCGGGACGAUAAUGACGGUACCCGCAGAAGAAGCCCGGCUAACUUCGUGCCAGCAGCCGC
rnacentral:rRNA from 1 species